rnacentral:rRNA from 1 species
GACGAACCGAGCGAACGUUAUUCGGAAUCACUGGGCUUAAAGGGCGCGUAGGCGGGCCUGAUAGUCAGGGGUGAAAGCCCCCAGCUCAACUGGGGAAGUGCCUCUGAUACUUCAGGUCUCGAGGGAGGUAGGGGCGUGCGGAACUUCCGGUGGAGCGGUGAAAUGCGUAGAUAUCGGAAGGAACGUCGGUGGCGAAAGCGGCGCGCUGGACCUCUUCUGACGCUGAGGCGCGAAAGCCAGGGGAGCAAAGCGGG